ACUCGAACUCUUCGAGCAAAGCUUUAUUUUCUGUUUUGUUCGUUCGGCUCGAGUUA
rnacentral:pre_miRNA from 1 species